GUAGGGAAUAUUGGGCAAUGGUCGGAAGACUGACCCAGCCAUGCCGCGUGCAGGAAGACGGCCCUCUGGGUUGUAAACUGCUUUUAUCUGGGAAGAAAAAGGCCAUGCGUGGCAAAUUGCCGGUACCAGAUGAAUAAGCACCGGCUAACUCCGUGCCAGCAGCCGCGGUAAUACGGAGGGUGCGAGCGUUGUCCGGAUUUAUUGGGUUGAAAGGGUGCGUAGGCGGCUGAUUAAGUCAGCGGUGAAAGACUUCGGCUUAACCGGAGCAGUGCCGUUGAUACUGGUUGGCUUGAGUGUCGGAGGGGUACAUGGAAUUGAUGGUGUAGCGGUGAAAUGCAUAGAUACCAUCAGGAACACCGAUAGCGAAGGCAUUGUACUGGCCGACAACUGACGCUGAUGCACGAAAGUGUGGGGAUCGAACAGGAUUAGAAACCCGGGUAGUCC
rnacentral:rRNA from 1 species